UACAGAGGUGGCAAGCGUUGUUCGGAAUUACUGGGCGUAAAGGGCGCGUAGGCGGCCUUCUAAGUCAGACGUGAAAUCCCCCGGCUUAACCUGGGAACUGCGUCUGAUACUGGGAGGCUUGAGUAUGGGAGAGGGAUGUAGAAUUCCAGGUGUAGCGGUGAAAUGCGUAGAUAUCUGGAGGAAUACCGGUGGCGAAGGCGGCAUCCUGGACCAUUACUGACGCUGAGGCGCGAAAGCUAGGGGAGCAAAUGGG
rnacentral:rRNA from 1 species